UACGGAGGGUGCAAACGUUGCUCGGAAUCAUUGGGCGUAAAGCGCACGUAGGUGGCCUGUUAAGUCGGGUGUGAAAUCCCUGGGCUCAACCCAGGAAGUGCACUCGAAACUGGCAGGCUUGAGUACUGAAGAGGGUCGCGGAAUUCCCGGUGUAGCGGUGAAAUGCGUAGAGACCGGGAAGAACACCAGUGGCGAAGGCGGCUACCUGGACAGGUACUGACGCUGCAGCGCGAAAGCUAGGGGAGCAAACAGG
rnacentral:rRNA from 1 species